UAUCCUACGGGAGGCAGCAGUGGGGAAUAUUGCACAAUGGGGGAAACCCUGAUGCAGCGACGCCGCGUGAGUGAAGAAGUAUUUCGGUAUGUAAAGCUCUAUCAGCAGGGAAGAAAAUGACGGUACCUGACCAAGAAGCCCCGGCUAACUACGUGCCAGCAGCCGCGGUAAUACGUAGGGGGCAAGCGUUAUCCGGAUUUACUGGGUGUAAAGGGAGCGUAGACGGUUGUGCAAGUCAGAAGUGAAAGCCCGGGGCUCAACUCCGGGACUGCUUUUGAAACUGUGAAACUGGAGUGCAGGAGAGG
rnacentral:rRNA from 1 species